rnacentral:rRNA from 1 species
GACGAACGCUGGCGGCGUGCUUAACACAUGCAAGUCGAACGGAAAGGCCCUGCUUGCAGGGUGCUCGAGUGGCGAACGGGUGAGUAACACGUGGGUGAUCUGCCCCUUACUUUGGGAUAAGCCUGGGAAACUGCGUCUAAUACUGGAUAGGACCAUGCUGUAGGUGGUGUGGUGGAAAGAUUAGUUUCGGUAAGGGAUGAGCUCGCGGCCUAUCAGCUUGUUGGUGGGGUAAUGGCCUACCAAGGCGUCGACGGGUAGCCGGCCUGAGAGGGUGGACGGCCACAUUGGGACUGAGAUACGGCCCAGACUCCUACGGGAGGCAGCAGUGGGGAAUAUUGCACAAUGGGCGCAAGCCUGAUGCAGCGACGCCGCGUGGGGGAUGACGGCCUUCGGGUUGUAAACUCCUUUCAGCCAUGACGAAGCCCUUGUGGUGACGGUAGUGGUAGAAGAAGCACCGGCUAACUACGUG